rnacentral:rRNA from 1 species
GCCGGGGUAUGGAUUCGGGGACGUUUCGACGGAACGCUAAUACCGCAUACGUCCUACGGGAGAAAGCAGGGGACCUUUGGCCUGUGGGGUAUCAGAUGAGCCUAGGUCGGAUUAGCUAGUAGGUGCAGUGUAAUGGCUCACCUAGGCGACGAUCCGUAACUGGUCUGAGAGGAUGAUCAGUCACACUGGAACUGAGACACGGUCCAGACUCCUACGGGAGGCAGCAGUGGGGAAUAUUGGACAAUGGGCGAAAGCCUGAUCCAGCCAUGCCGCGUGUGUGAAGAAGGUCUUCGGAUUGUAAAGCACUUUAAGUUGGGAGGAAGGGCAGUAAGUUAAUACCUUGCUGUUUUGACGUUACCAACAGAAUAAGCACCGGCUAACUCUGUGCCAGCAGCCGCGGUAAUACGAAGGGUGCAAGCGUUAAUCGGAAUUACUGGGCGUAAAGCGUGUGUAGGUGGUUCGUUAAGUUGGAUGUGAAAGCCCCGGGCUCAACCUGGGAACUGCAUCCAAAACUGGCGAGCUAGAGUAUGGUAGAGGGUGGUGGAAUUUCCUGUGUAGCGGUGAAAUGCGUAGAUAUAGGAAGGAACACCAGUGA